UGGGGAAUCUUGGACAAUGGGCGCAAGCCUGAUCCAGCCAUGCCGCGUGGAUGAUGAAGGCCUUAGGGUUGUAAAAUCCUUUCGUGGGGGACGAUAAUGACGGUACCCCAAGAAGAAGCUCCGGCUAACUUCGUGCCAGCAGCCGCGGUAAUACGAAGGGAGCUAGCGUUGUUCGGAAUCACUGGGCGUAAAGCGCACGUAGGCGGAUAGUUAAGUCAGGGGUGAAAUCCUGGGGCUCAACCCCAGAACUGCCUUUGAUACUGGCUGUCUCGAGGUCGAGAGAGGUUGGUGGAAUUCCUAGUGUAGAGGUGAAAUUCGUAGAUAUCAAGAGGAACACCUGAGGCGAAGGCGGGUUGCUGGGCUGAUACUGACGCUGAGGCGCGAAAGCUAGGGUAGCAAACGGGAUUAGAUACCCCAGUAGUCCCUGAGCGGGCUGGCAAGGCGCAU
rnacentral:rRNA from 1 species